rnacentral:lncRNA from 1 species
CAAUACCCUUCUUCCAAAAGACACCAUGAUAUCAUGAACAUUAGUCCAAGUCUCAAACCAGCAUAGUAUUGGACUCAGUUUCCUGAUAUUCCAUGCAGAUUCAACGUUCUUCUCUCCUUCAGUGACACGGGUUUCUUAGCAAUAUGCCAGAAGGAUAUCAAUCGAACUGUAGCACACUUGACGACAGGCUCUGUUGUCUAGCAGAUAAGAUUUAUUGACAAAUUCUUGUAGCUGAUAUUUCUCUUCAGAAAAAGACACUAAUGCAGCAUGAUUUUCUUGCUUCUGACUCUUUUCCAAAAAGGCCGUCGUUUUUUAAUAUUUGUCAGUCCACCAAGGAUUAUACUUCAAAAUCUGUUCAACUGCCUCAUCUUCAAAAAAGUCAGCUAGAUAAUGAUCAGGAUCAAACUUGGCCAGCUCAGCGGCCAGGUGCUUUUGUUUUCGUUCUGCUGCAGGGGUGAAAUCUGGAUCCUUAAUAGCAUCACUCAAUUCAUCCUGUAACUGCUGAAACACUCCUGAUCGUAAGUUUCCAAACCCAUAGUAGCAUGAGGAUUCAAAGCACUUUCUGUUACCUCUUCAUAGGGUGUCUGCUCAAUUUCCCAAUCAAACUCUUCAUCGUGAACUACUUCCUCAGGAAUUUCAGAAUCACCUAUUGCUUCCACAAGUGGUUUUGCUGUCCCGGAUUUUCCUGGUGCCAGAAGAGCAACACAUGUUCAGCCCCUCAAAAUGCUGGCCAGGGGUUUCUUUGGGCAGGGGCAAGUUAUGAAUAAAGUUGAGCCAUAAAUCAAAAGGAUGUUAACUGAAAAAGAAGUCUCAAAGCAGAUGGUGAGAAAGUGAAGACAGAGAGCCUCUGCCCCAGUUCAGGAGGAAUAUUCCGGACCAAACACACAAAGGAAGCAGGUAAAGAGUGACUUCACCCGAGAGAAAAUACAAACCUUUUCAUUAGGGGAGACACCAAGCAAGAACGCCACAGUGUUAACAAGGGGUGGAUGUUAACAGGUAAAAUAACACUUUCCCCCAGAUGAGCAGCCUGAGUUGAUCUGCAGUUUCAAAAUUGCAGCCAGGUGUGGUUGCUCAUGCCUGUAAUCCCAGCACUUGGGAGGUCAAGGCAGGAGGAUUGCUUGUGCCCAGGAAUUUGAGGCCAGUCUGGGCAACAUGGCAGAAACCCAUCUCUACAAAAAGUACAAAAAUUAGCCAGGUGUGGCAUUUGCGCCUGUAGUCCCAGCUACUUGGGAGGCUGAGGUGGGAGGAUUAAUUGAGCCCGGGAGGUCAAGGCUGCAGUGAGCCAUGAUCGUGUCACUGUACUCCAGCCUGAGUGACAGAGCAAGACCCUGUCUCAAACAAACAAACAAACAAAAUAGACAUCCAGCCAGGCACAGUGGCUCACACCUGUAAUCCCAGCACUUUGGGCUGCCAAGUAGAAUUGCGGCAUAGAGGGGAG